rnacentral:rRNA from 1 species
UACGUAGGGUGCAAGCGUUGUCCGGAUUUAUUGGGCGUAAAGAGCUCGUAGGCGGUCUGUCGCGUCGGAUGUGAAAACCCAGGGCUCAACCCUGGGCCUGCAUUCGAUACGGGCAGACUAGAGUGUGGCAGGGGAGACUGGAAUUCCUGGUGUAGCGGUGAAAUGCGCAGAUAUCGGGAGGAACACCGGUGGCGAAGGCGGUUCUCUGGGCCUGUACUGACGCUGAGGAGCGAAAGCGUGGGGAGCGAACAGG